UACAGAGGGUGCAAGCGUUGUUCGGAAUUAUUGGGCGUAAAGCGCGUGUAGGCGGCUUAGCAAGUCGGGUGUGAAAGCCCUCAGCUUAACUGAGGAAGUGCGCCCGAAACUGCAAAGCUUGAGUACCGGAGAGGAUGGCGGAAUCCCCCAAGUAGAGGUGAAAUUCGUAGAUAUGGGGAGGAACACCGGUGGCGAAGGCGGCCAUCUGGACGGAUACUGACGCUGAGGAGCGAAAGCUAGGGGAGCAAACGGG
rnacentral:rRNA from 1 species